rnacentral:snRNA from 1 species
AUACUUACCUGUAAGGGGAGAAAUCAUUUUCACGAAGGUGGUUCACCCAGGGCGAGGUUCAGCCAUUGCACUCGAGGUUGUGCUAACUCUUGCGAAUUCCCCAAAUGUGGCAAUCUCGACUGCAUAGUUUCUGGUAGUGGGGGACUGCGUUCGCGCUCUCCCCUG